CUGAUUUAGGAUAGGUAAAGAUCCUUUCCCAAUCUGUUGGUGGUCUUUUUGUCUUAUUGACGGUGUCUUUUGCCAUAAAUUAUAUUUUGUAGGCUCUGAAAUAUAAUUGUGUGACCUGUCAUUAAUUUAAAGAAAUUCAGUUAUUUCUUAUUUUAACCUGGACAUCUUCCCUUUUCUUCCAUUUAAAACGAUAUUAAAUCAUUCAAUUGUACUGCUACUUACUAUGCAAAAUUAUUACUACAUAUAUAAUAAGUUUUGACUGUGAAAUAUUUUUAAAAGAAAUUGUGUUUAGGGUGUACUACAUAGUACAAAUAUACAAUAAUGGAGAAAUGGGUUGUAAUUUAAGUAGAGAAAAUCUACUAGAUGAAAUUAGGUACAUCUCACUAAUUGUUUAUACAUAUGUCCUCACCACUAACAAUUUUUCCCUUAAAUUGUAGAUAAAAGUCAGUUGUAAAAUGAAUAUUGCCAAUUCUGUCCCAGAAGCUGUGUCAUUUCUGCAUUCUGCAUAAAUAAGAGCUUAUGUUAUUAUUUGUUCAGGAAAAAUAAAAUGCAAUGGAUAUUUUAAAUGGUCUACAUGAAAUAAAAAAUCUUAUAUAUACUCAUUAAUUAUUCUGCCUUGUGUAUUAUUAGAAAUUAUCAUUAAGAUUUACAAUUUACUUUUAAAAAAAGAUCGACUAUUAUUUGCAUUUAAGUGUGUCUGAGUGAGUUUAUGAGCUCCACGUGCAUAUAGAAGCUCCCAAAGGCAGCAGGUACCUGAUCUGCAUGAACUGGAGUUAGAGGAUAAGAUGUUUUGAGGCACCAUGUUGACACUGGGAACCAAAUCUGUGUCCCCCAUGAAUAGCAAAUACUGCUAAUUGUGGAGCCGCCUCACUAGCCUCCUGCAGAACACUUUUUAUGUUGUCCAUUAUCACUUUAUAGACCUUGAUGAGAGCAAUGGCAAUGGGUUACACUUAUCUACGGAAUUCUUUGUCACUUCCAGAGAUAGAUAUGUAUUUAUUUUAAAUUCAGAGACUUUCUAUUCUUUUACAUGUAAAGGUUAUGCCCCAUUUUCUUCCAAACAACGUGGUUAUAGUUUUCAUUAUAAUUCAUCUAAUCUAAUCACUAAUUCUGUGGAACGCUGUGGUUGAAGGAGUCACUGGGCUUGAGGCAAUGCAAGAGUCAACAAAUAGAGUCUCUUACAGGGUCGAAUCUCUGUGCAGCAUAAAGGCCGUAUGAAAUGCAAAGCACAUUUACAAUUUCUCCUCCCUGCUGCUCAGAGUGGCUUGGUUAAUGACCUUAAUGCUUAUGUUAAGAAACUAUUGUUGCUGAUAUUUUAAGGCCACUAAACAAUUUUAUCUCGUGUGUAUGAUACCUAAGCAUCUGUGUCUUUGCUUGUUUAUGUAUGUGAGUACACAUAGAACACCUCUGUGAAUAACUGCCUCCACAGUUGUUUGAUUCAUGGAACCUGUAAUUGUUUGCAGUUCUGUAUACCUGGCUCACUGAGCCGUGAGCUUUGAGGGGUCUAAAGGCCACAUCUUUCAUCAGACACAUUGGGAUAGCAGGCCCAUGCCAUCAGUGACCAUGCUUUUGCAUGGUUCUAGGGAAGCAAACUGGAUCUUCAAUUCAAUGCUUUUAAUACAUGCACAUUUCUCACUGAACCAUUUCCCUAGACACAACAUUUUGCCUCAUUCAAAAGUUUGUAAAAACCAUGCAUUCAAACAGCUGGAAAUGUAACAGGUCUGUGUUAUUGAAAGGUCAUCUUAAUUAAAAGGGAUUCUCUUGGUAAAUUUAUUAUACUUUGGGCUCUUUAUAAUCCAAUCAGUGUCAAGGGAAAUAAUCAAGAUUUUCUUCCUUAGCCUACAAACCAGACAUGUGGAAGUCAUUAUUAUAGAUCAGUUAUGUGGGUUAAUAUUUAACAUGGCAAUUUUAAACUUUUUUUCUGGUGUUUUCUGAUAAAGUCUCAUUUAUUUCUGGGCUGGCAUCAGCAUUGCUAUGAAGAUAUGAAUAAUAUUGAGUGACUUAUCCGCUUGCUUCUAACACCCAAGACCUGGAGUAAGAGGCGCAGAACAACAUACUCAUUGCAGCCUAUUUGAUUUUGUCCAUAAGUUUGUAGAAGUAUUUAAUUACUGACUCUCGGAGUUUUUCUUAUAAUACUCCACAAUAGUGCAUUGUGUUUUGGUGGAAAGAUAACUCAAUAAUUUCAGUACUGUUUUUCCUUCUUGUUUUAAAUCAUUACUGGGUAUCCUGGUCAUGUAUUUCUACAUGAAUGAAGAAGAAAAACUAUCUGGGAACAGGUGCACAGACCAAGGAAACAAAAAAGUAAAACAGAAAAGGUAUGAAUCAAACAUCCCUUUUGGCUUGUUGAUCUGCCAUGCUUUUAACACUGGAAUUACAGUUAUGGUGUGUAUAGCCUGUUUCUCCAGCUUUGCAGUUAAAAAGGAUGCAGUUAUUUAGGUAUAAAGAUAAGGUUGCUCAGCUAAAUAUUUGCAGCAAUAAAGCCAUUUGAUUAGGGAAUCACUGAAUAAUAAGCUUGAAAACAAAUUUUAUGGCAUAAUUUCUUUUCACAAAUUGUACUAAUUUUUUCUCUUCCAAUCUUCAAAUUACUGGGACUCUUUUCUUCAAAAUCAAUUAUGUUAUCAAUUCAGGAAUCUCAAAAAGGUUUAAAUAACAUCGUGCAAGUGGUCCUUUCAAGCACACACUGAUUCUUAAGUGCUUCUCCUGUCCCUCCUGGGGAUGAUUUAAGUCACUUUUGUUGUUGUCUUGAGUGAAAAUUGGGGUUCUACUUAUUUCUAGCUUGUAAAGGGGUGAAAACUACACACACUGCAAAGCACAGAGCACACCAUCAUAUCAAGAAAUACCUCCAUGUAUAAUGCUGCUGGUUGCAUCCCCUUGGCCAUGAGUAAAGGCUUAGUGCUUCUGACUGAGUUGUACUGGUGUGUGUACAUUUGGGUUCAUUCCUGAGUCUUCCACCUACUGCUGUGCUACAUGUGGGUAAGUGACCCUACUCUACAUUUAGAGUAUGAAUUCUGUGGUGAUGAUACCUAAAUAAUAAAACUGAUUUCAGAGAAAAUAACAUUUGCAGAGCCCUGAACCUCUAAGCUGGAGGGAAAGAGUCUAAUAAAUUACAGCAGGUAUAUAUUAAUUUUGUCUAUAGAUAGCUAUCCUGAUUGUAACUUGUAAAACAUUAUUUCCCAAGACAAUACUCAAUUUCUGCCUAUGGUUCCUGUUUCAGAACUAAGAAAAUUGAGCUUUUUGUUAAUAAACUGGUUAUACAAGUAAUUAUUUCCCUGACAUAUUAAGAUCCUAUUCUUAUUUUUGUGUUGUCAAUGUUGAAUGUAACUUCUGGAAUUAAAUCAAAACCUGUGAAAAGUCCUCAGUUCUUGGUGGCCAUCAGCUCACUGUACAGUUUUGUUAACUUUUUUCCCCCCUCUGGUUCCCAUUAUAGGUAGCUGUCUACCUGUGCAAACCUAAGACUUCCUUAAUUCUUUUUAGUAAUUCUUUCAUUACUAUGAUUCUAUAGGAAACUCACUAAGGUAAAUACUGUCUUGGACAAUGUUUUCCACUGCUUCAACAACAUUGGUAUUUGGUUUUGGAAACCUAGAACCCUGAUGCCUUUGCAUAACAACUGGGUCAGAAACCUUAAAAUAUUCGAUCUAUGACCUAUCUAGAGAAUUCAUUAUUCCCUUUCAGAGUGAAGUGGGAAUGCUAAAUAGGAAUGCAUAGCUCCAAAUCAACAGAAUUCAUUUUUUUCUUGCAGUGCUUCCCUAUGGAUAGGCAAACAUUUAUUUAACCUGUAGUAUGUCCUGGUAUGGCUUCCGAAGAGUUAUGAGAAAUGUCCCACAUCAAUUAAUAAUUCAAAAACUCAAGGAGACAUAUCAAAAUACCAGAAUUUUAAGUAUUUUUUCAAAAGUUUUGAUUUUUGUGGCAAACUCAGAAUCUUACAAAUUAUCAAAGGAAGUUUAGUUGCAAUGUUUCUUACAUGUUAACUGAUUUUCUCCAGACAUCUGGAUUUGCAAACUCCCUAUAUAAAUCCUGUCUAUUUCUAAUAUAUUACUCAUGUAAGAACUAAGGCAUGACUUUUGAAUCUGAACUGCCUUGUUGAAGAACUGAAGUGUUGUUUACACGGCCAAACCAAGGAUUUCAAAGAAAACCAUUCAUAGGCAGUUUAAUACUAUGCUCAUUUAGCAGAGUUAAUAGUAUUAGGUUCUCACCUAGGGCCAAUGACUUUUCUACUAACUAGCUCCUGACCCCAAUAAAUGUGCCUAAGUUGGAUUUCAAUUUCCAGAGCAGGUAUUAAGUGCAAUUAGAAAGUGAUUGGUUACUAUCAUAACAUCCAUAGCACUGUGGCACUUGUGGGUAUGACCUUCAAGGCCAGUGAUGAUUGUAGCUCCCAGGGUUCAUAGCUGAAUAAAGUUAUGAUUACUUUUCUCUUUGGUGGUAUGCAUAAUAUCUUCCAGAGCUAUAAAAGUCAGAUAAUAGGGAUGAAGCUUCCAUGUGAGUAUCAGUUUGUUUUAUCCAUGCUCUAUAAUUCCAGUAUAUCAGGCCUUACCAUUAGGUUUUAUAAGAGUAACCAAGGGCAGUAGUAAUGCAAUAAAUCUAUAAUGUUUGAGAAUCUAUGGAGUACCCUACAAAUCAGUGCAUGUUUCAGGUCUCUUAAGAUAAGUUUUUAUGUUUUGCUUUUGUUUUGUUUUGUUUUGUUUUGUUUUGUUUUGCAUUAGAUGGCAAUUAACACAGAGUCCUACAACUGGGCAAAAUAGAGAGAAUGAGAGACAAUGGAAUGCUCAGUACCACAUGUGAUAUCUAAAUCACACCCUUUCCUUCUAAGUCACAUAGAUCCUUGUGGAAGAGGGGGGUGGCAGCUAUAAGAGCUAGAUGUGGUAGAUGACUACAAAGAAUCAGUGUUUCCUUGGUACAGCAUGGCGUGUUCACACAUCAACUUACAAUAGUUGUGAUAGCAAGCUCAAGAAAUGCUUUACCUCACACCAAACACAAGACCAGCAUGGGCAGAUAGGGUAGACACAAAAUUCCACAGAUACCUGUGGAGUUAUUGGCAGUCGAUAGCUUCUGAGUGAGAGGAACUCAGUUUUUCCUAAUUUUGUGGGCCCUGGUAGGUUGACAAUUCUCCAGGGAUAAUCCAACAUCAAGAGUACAUGAGCUUCAGAAAUUGUCCUUGGUGGGUUAAGAAAAGAAGACAAAAAAUUAAAUGGACAGGAAAGAGGGAGAUGAUUUUGGAGGAGUUGGAGGAAAGAGGCAAAUAUAAUUAAAAUAUAAUAUAGAGAAUUCUCAAUGAACUAAUAGAAAAAUGACAUAAAAAUAUUACAGGUUUCUAUGAAUUGAAUUGAUGCUCAGGAGUUGAAAAACUAUGUGACUUUUGGUUGGACUUACUUCAUCCGCACUUUAAUGAAGAUGAAAGGGAAGUUUUGCUGAUUUUUUUUUUGAGGGCAGUAAUUCAAACAAUUGGGUGUUUUCUUAGUGGUACAGUAUUAAGGCUCAGAGGCAGAGGCCGUGAUGGUAUGCUUGGAUAUUAAGUUUCUGAAAUAAACCUCCAGAUUCACAUUUGUUCUGCAUGUCUAAAGAUGGUGAAGCUUUCUUUUUCCUCUCUUCAUCUCUCUAUCACAAUUGCCCUAUCAUUUUGCCAAGAAAGGCCAACACACACUGAGUUGGCCUCAUCAUUCUACCCACAUGAGAUAGAAAAGCUUCCAGGGAAGCAAAGAUUUUGAUUUCUGAGGAUGGUCCAAAGUAAUGAAGGAAGAAUCAGAGAAAGAUGGAUUGACCCUGCUCCUGCCCAUCCUUCUUGAUUUUAUCUGCAAAGAAAAGGGACAUUAGUACUUUUAAUACUUCUUGUAAGAUUUUUUCUAGAUGUGUUUUGCAUGCUCAUAUAGACAUAUUCAUCUAUAUAUGCAUGUGUCUGCAUACUCAUCUAUACAUUAUACACAUAUCUAUUGACCUCAAAAUACUGUUGUCUUUACUAUGCAUAUAUUAAAAUUUAAGAAUGAAGAGAGCAUCAUGAGGACUUUAUGGCAUGGAUUGGUUUUAAUUUUUUUAAUUUAUUUUUUAAACUAGGUAUUUUCUUCAUUUACUUUUCAAAUGCUAUCCCAAAGUCCCCCAGACCCUCCCCCCCACUUCCCUACCCACCGACUCCCACUUCUUGGCCCUGGCAUUCCCCCGUACUGAGGCAUAUAAAGUUUGCAAGACCAAGGGGCCUCUAAUGCCACCAAUGACAUCUUUCACCAAUGUAUACAUAUUCUCUAAUUAAAUAAAAUUGAUCUAUACUUCCAGAGCUUAAGAAAAGAUAUAUUUUUAUAGGAUAUACCAUAUGCAACUUGCCAGAGAAAUGAUGUAUAAAAUCAUAUAAGUUGUUGUCUUUGAAGUGCAAAUUGGAUCGUUAUAAGACUCUCACUCAACUGUUUCCUUGUGUCAGAUAUCUAAGAUAGUAAAUACAAGCAAUACAUUUAUCUUAUCUAGAAAUUAUAUGGAAAUAUUUCCUCAAUGAGUGAGAAUCAAUAAGAGAAAUUAAUAGAUAAUUCAUAGAUAUCACCUAUGGAAACAUCUAUGGAUACUUAGACAGUAGGUUGAUGAUAAAUGAGUUACUAAUAGACAAAUUGAGAUAGAUAAAACAUAGGCAUAUAGAAAUAGAGAAUCAGUAGAGAUCAUAUCCAGAGGUUAGGAACUGCCCCUAGUUGAGUGAUGGGACCACCCACCCAUCUCAAAAAUAUUAACACAGAAUUGCUUCUGUCUAAAGGAAAUGUAGGAACAAAGAGUAGAGUAGAUGGUGAAGGAAAGGCCAUCCAGAGACUGCCCCAUUUAAAGAUCCAUCCCAUUUGCAAACACCAAACCUAGACACUGUUGCUGAUGUCCAGAAGUGCCUGCUGACAGGAGCCUGGUAUAGCUGUUCCCUGAGAGGCUCUGCCAGAGCUUGACCAAUACAGAUGCAGAUGUUCCCAGCCAACCAUCUGACUGAGCACAGUGACCCCACAGGACGAAAAACAAUAUUGAUCAACCAGACCCCCACCUCCAGAGUUCCCAGGGACUAAACCACCAACCAAAGAAUACACAUGGAGGGACCAAUGGCUCCAUCUCAUUAUGUAGUAGAGUACUGCCUUAUCUAGCAUCAGUGGAAGGGGAGGCCCUUGGUCCUGUGGAGGCUCGAUGCCCCAGCAUAAAGGAGGUAGGAGUGGGUGAGUGGGUGGGAGAGCACCCUCAUAGAGGCAGGGGAGGGAAUAGAGGGGUUUGCAGAAGAGAAACUGGGAAGAGGAUGAAAUUUGAAAUUUCAAUAAAUAAAAUAACCAAUAAAAAAGAAACAUAGGAAUAGUAGAUAAUAAAUGAGAGAUGAAAAAAGAUGAUAGAAGACAGACACACAACAUGAUAAGUGGAUAGAUGGUAGAGAAAACUAUAGAUAGAUGCAGAUAUAGAUAUAGAUAAAUAGACACUAGUAUAUAAACAUAUGAUACAUAGAGAAAGAGAUAGAUUGAUAGAUCGAUAGAUGAGAGAUAGAUAGAUAGAAGAUAGAUGAUACAUAUCAAAGGCAUAGUAAUAUUUAGUAGCUGAGAGAGUUAUAAAAGGUAAAUAACAUAUAAUAGAUAAAGAUAUACAUACAUGUGAGGACAUAUUUGUAAGAGGAAUGAAUAAUUAUGGUGGCUGAGAAGGGCCAAAGUAGGCUGUUUUCAAACUGGCAUCUCAGAAAAGAAAAUAUAGCAGCUCUCUGUUUAACAUUUUGAGCCUUGUGAAAGUCCCACAGUUUAUCUAGAGUUCUGAUACAUUGAUAUCAAGAGAAUAAAGUUAUCCCAGCUCUGGAGUGUAGGUUGGUCCUCCCUCUAUAUUUUUAUGCCAUAGAAUUUCCAUUUAGUUGGAUAAGGUCCAUGCCAAGGGCAAACCUCACUGAGUAUGUAGAUUUACAUGUCAUUUCCCAUGUAAACACCCUUAACAACAAACCACGAAAAAAAUUAGGGUGGUUUACCCUAUUCACACCAUAGGUAUACUUGAAAUUAAGUGUCUCGUUUGUUCAAAAGCAUUUUGUCAUGUUUGCCUCAAUAAAUGUAGACAGAUGCUAGCAGGAAUGGACAAUAGGGUAGUUUUCAAAUGUUCAUUGUCUGUUUUCUUUUUGAAACAGACUUACGAUGAGCCUGGCUAGGUUUGAAGCUUAAACUGACCUUAAAUACUUGAUUCUGUUGCCUCAGCAUUCUGAGUGCUGGGAUUACAGGUGUAUGCCACCAUGGCUACCUUUAGUUUUCAGAAUUGUAGCACCUGGGGCCAAAAGUGCUUCUUGUUAGGUAAUGUUGUCUGUGUUUCUUAUGUACAAUAUGGUAAACUAAGAACAUAUACAUGAAGAAUUAUCCAAAUAUUGUUAAUUAGCAAAUUUAGCCAACACUAUUAGAGCAAUUUCUUCUUUAAAGAAUAUGAUGUAACAUACUUUAUUGUAAAAUAUAUUUCAAUUUAAUUUUCCUAUGUAAAUGAAGAUUAUUUUAUUAAUGUCUUCUCCUUCAAUCUACCACUAUACCCUGAUACUUAUUCUACUCUUCUACUUAUAUUAGCAUUUUAGGUUCAUAAAUGAGAUUAUGUACUAUUGAUGUUUUAUGUUUGGCUCAUUUUCCUUAAAUAUUCCUCAACAGAGCAUAAAUUACAGGAUUUUCUUCUUUAUAUGGAUGGGUAUUUUCCCAUUGCAUAUAGAUAUGUUUCCUCUUGUUUAUCCAUUCAUUUGAGUUUGUUCUGUAUCUUGGUUAUUUUAAAUAAUGAUAUAAUUGUCAUGAGAGAGAAGUUAUAUUUUGUAAAGACUAACUUAAUUUUGUACACAUGCACAGACAGACCAACAGAGAUUCAAUAGUGUGCUUGCAUUUUGAAUGAAAGGGCAUACUCUAAUUUUUAGAUCAUUAUCUUAGAUCAUAAACAGUAUUGCAUGGUCUAUUAUGCUGGAUCUAGACUAAUUCUUAAUACCUCUCUUUACACUAGCCCACAUUCCAGCUCCGUUGCCAUUUCUUACCCCUCACUGCUUCACUCCCACUGACUCAGCAUUCCUAUGCUUAGAAUAAUGUGGAUAGUUCACUGUGUACUCCUACAUUUAGGUUAUUUAUAAAAGUCUUUAAAUAAAAUUACUGUCAAACCCCAGGAGUGACAUUGCUAAACUUUCCCUACCAGCACACAAUUAAUUUUGCUCUGUUCUUUUUCUCCUAAUUAUCAUGGUAGUCAACAUGCACUUGCUGAGCAGCUCACUGUGUGCUUAUAGGCAUACAAGAAUAUCCACGCAUGUACUGCUGAAUUCUAAGAUAGGAAAGGCACUCAACUUAAUCACAAAAUGAGUAAACUUUGUUUGCAUGUUUGAAGAGUCUCAGUAAUGACAGAUUGCUGGAGAGCAUGAAGUAGUAUGUCUGCCACUUACUGCUCUAUUUCCCCCACUAGUGGCCACAACGGUGAAUCUUACUGAGACUACAUGGCAGAUUUUAACUUGAACGUUUUGAACACCUCUUCAAUUGACCUUCAAUUUUUUUUUUUUUUGCAGCCUAUAUCUAAGAAAUACAGAUAAUUCUUUUAAAAUAUUACUAAAAAUUUGGAAAACCAAAUUUUGUUAUGAGUUAAAAGCCCUGAUGACAUUGUCAAGUGACUUCCAAAUAUCAAAUUAUAGGCCAAGAAAGUUUCCAAAUCACAAUCUUCAUAGGCCAAGAUGAAUUGAUUAGCAUGUGGACACUCACCAGAGCUUGAAAAUUAUAUUUACUUAGUCAAAAACAUUAAGGUUUUUGUGAGCAUGAAGGGACAGAGAAAUACCUCCACAAUGCCAGCUUUACGGGCUUUUCCUAAGGUCUAAAGCUAUAAGGGACCUCAAUUCAGACCAAACUGGGAUUUGUUCCCCCUGCUCAGGAAGGAAUUUCAUGACUAGCUACUAUAGCAAAUCAGAGAUAGUCUUUUUAAUAAGAACAUUUUAAUAUAGGCUUAACCAUGAAAGUUAUAGAAAGAAGCAACUCUAAUAAAAUAAGGGACAACAAAAUGAACAUAUGUGCAUUCAGGUAAUAAAGAAACAUUGUCAAGGGAGAGUAAGCAAUAAUUUGUCUUAGCAUUAGCCAUACGUGACCUUAAGCAACUCUCAGACUACAUCUCACAAGUUUACAUCCAUGCUGAUGAGAUAUUACAGGCAUAACUUCUGAUGUUACUAAGACACAAAAUCUGAUAGCAAAAUCCCUGGCCCUCUGAUUCUUACAGUCUUUCUGCCCCCAUAUUCCUCAAUGUUCUCAGGGCCUUGGAAAAGGAAGUCUUUUGCAGAUGGAUCCACAGGUCUACAGCUUUACAUUUUGAUUGAUUAUGAUUUCUGUAGUGGUCCAUGUCCUUUGCAAAAAGAAGUUUUCUUGAUGAAGGGUGAAGACUAGAUUUAUCUGUGGGUAUAAUGACAAAUGUUUAUAGACUGUUUUAAGGGUUACGUUGGUUUAGUAAAUAAGUGGUUGUAGGUUAUGCUUCUAUAAGCUUGAUUUACUAGUACUGAAUAAUUAGCUUUGUUUCUAAUACUACUCAUGAUAUCUCCCUUGUUGAAUGGAUCUUAAGUCCAAUCAAAGCACAGCUGGUUAUUGACAAAGUAUGUAUACCAUUUAUCAUACAUGCAGGGUUAUUGUGCCAUGCUGGCCAUUGAUGUGACUCGUAGGCAUCAUAGCUGUGUAAGACUGUUGGUUGCCUCCCUUCUUUGGAACCUUCACUGUAUGGUGCUAUGAAAGAUCCUCAGGAAGGGGGCAUUUCAGUUCAAUUCCAUCUCAAGGAUCCCAUAGGGCUCUUUCUGAAGUUCAUGGCAUCUUCAGCAAUAGGGAUUUAACUUCCAUUUCUGGAGGAAGGGUAACCAAGGGCAAUAGCAAGAGGCUGUAUAAUUUUGGAGUCUCUUCAACCAUUUAAACAUUAUCUGAAUGAUGAUGGCACCAACAACUAUGCCAAAGUGAGUGAAAAAACUCAAAAGGCCUCAACCCUACAAAUAGAAUGAAAGGCAACCGAGGAAAGAUAGGAGUGGGAGAAGUGAUCCUCCUCAGGAAGGAGAACAAUGUUUAGUUCCAAACAUUCAACCAUGAAAGCACACAUAUAAGUAACCUAUAUAGAUUUAACUGGCCAUAUUUAGAAAUAUGUAUUACAAAUACAUUAUAUAUACAGUAACAAGUUGAAGGAGAGUGAAAAGGAGUAUAUGAAAGAGUUUGGGGGAAUAAAGGGGAAGGCAGAAACAUAAUUAUAUUAUAAUUUCAAAAAAUAAAAAUAAAUAAAACAAAGUUAAUGAGGAACUCCCUACCCCCCUGGAUGAGACAGAUAAGUGAGGAGACUUCAGGUGUGUCGUUUAAGGAAAAAUCAUUGGUACCAUACUUAUGAAUAAACUCAAAAUGUUGCUUGUUUGUACAUUAACACAUGGUCACAAAAAUGUGAAUACUUGGCUCUCAACUGCUUGCUGUAUCUAACAAAUUUCUUCCAAUUUCUAAGCCACUUGCUGGAUGAUAUGUAUAAAUAAACAAUAACAAAACAAAAACUGACUCCUCACUUAGUAAAAUAGAAACUCGGAGUAGGUAAGACAUAGAAGGCCCUGAGACUUCAAGGCAACAGAUAACCAUCAUGGGUUAGGCAAAGGCAACAGUGAACAGUGUGUGAGUCUGUGUUAAGCCUCCUGGGAAAAGAGGGAAACAGGCCAAUUAACAAGUCAAUGUAACAGAUUCAAGGCUCUGACUGGAUGUGGACAGAGGCAAGUGUUUACUAUAGGUAUUGACACAGAGGUAAAUGAAGGGGAAACUCAGAACAUGGUUUGAGUGAUCAAGGAGCCCUGAAAUGAAUAAGCAAGUGUACCCCAGAAAACUUUAAAAAAUGGUUAGACAGAGAAAUAAAGGUGAUGGGUGGCAGGGCUGCUAACAACUUCAUUUUCGAAUUUGGAUGCAGAAAUUUAAGACAUGCAAAUGAAGCUGAGGAGGCAGCAAAUAUAAACAUCUUUACCUAGAAAUGAGAUCUAGGGGCAAGAGAAAAACUUUAGCAGUUAAGAACACCCACUACUAAAAAUUAAAACAAAUACAUUUGAAAAUCAGAAUAAGACCUUGCGCGGAGCCUCCCUAACCAGAGAGGGUAGUGGCAGGGGCACAGAGUAAUACUCUGUUGAUGGCUUUGAAGUCUGAGGGUUUCAGGAUGUUCUAGUUCUCUAACUGUACUGAAAUGCUGAUGAUAACGUCUAAAACGUUCUAAAAACUGCCUUGCUCUUUCCAAGGGUAAAAAGCUGCUGGUUUAUGAGAUUGACACCUGUAGCCUUACAGCAGGGGAUGAACGAAUAUGGCCUUUGUUCUAUCUCAGCAGGAACUGCAGGGCUCUAACUUUCAACCUGCUAGUCGGAAGUCACAAGAAGAAAAAGGGACACUUAGAAAAGUGGUUAUAGAAUUUAUUACUAAGUUGUAAAAGGUUUCCUAUGAAAGCUCUUUAAGGGGAAAAGUGGAAAGAUCCUGAGUGGGGAAAGGGAAAAAUUCUUCUAAGUGGGGAAAGGGAAAAAAUUGUUUUAGAUUGGGGAAAACGAAAAAUUUCUACACUCUUCUCUUUGUCCUCAAAAAAUCUUAAACAUCUUUCAGAAUACAUGAUCACAUGUCGAAAAGUUCAUCAAAAGUACACACACAAAAUCAAAUCAUAAAUUGAAAUAGAAGUUUAUAACAGAGAAUGUUUACAUGCAUAUCCGUUAGGAGUAAUUAUGUGGCUAAACAUCCAUCACCUGUCUCAGCUCCACAGGUUCACUGAAGGUUUAAAACCGCAACUACGUUAUUAGUGAAGUUUGUAUAGAUACACCUAGUCAAUAUUUUAUCUUCUGUUCUAGCAUCUAAAAUAAAUCAUUAGUUCCCUUUUUAUGGCCUUGGUUAAUUGUUUUACAGCCUCUUGAAAUGUGCUCUGAGUAGGAGAAAGUCUGGUUACUAUCUAAGAGCAAUUAACUGGUGACACUUGGGAGACUGGUAAAGUUCUCAUUGCAGUUUUGACUAUCACAAAAGGACCUAAUAGCAAUCCCACUAUAAAAGAGCUUAAUAAUCACAGAUAGAAUUUAAGAAUUCUUAUAGGAUCAUCAUUAAGACAUAAGAAGUCAUCUAUUUUUCUAUAUAGCAUCACUACAAGACAGUACAUCUUUGUGGAUCUGCAGAGAUCUGCUCCAAAAGGGUGUGCUAUUACUUAGUUAUUAUAAUAUAUGUUUAAUAAUAACAGAAAAAGUAUAAUAACAGUAAUCUUUCCUAAAAUGGAUCCCUUACAGCCUUGCUUUAUAAGGGUGAACCUGUCGCAGAUUAUAUAAUAAUCUGAAGUAGGCCAUCUCAGGACAAUCACCUGCUAGUUAUUAGCUUGUCCCAUUAUGGCUCCUGACAAGAUCUUUUUAACAAGAUUGAUAUAUGGUAUGAUUAAAAGGAGGGUUUUAUUGUUAAUAAAAGAGAGAAUAUAUUCAGAGGCCUCUGGAAGAAUCCAGAGCAGAAAAAGAAGUAGAUCGGGAAUGGCCAGCAGACUGCACAUGGCCUGGGAUAUCUGUAAGGGAAGGGAAAACAGCAGAAGGUAGGCAAUUAAGAGAACACAGUGAAGCUAACAAGAGCAUGGACAAAACACAGUAAGAAUAGUUUGUGAUAAGAAGAAUAAGUAGCUGGGAAUGACGAAAGGGUGAGGGGAAAAGGGUGUGGGGGCUUUGAAAAGUACACUUGUGAGUAGGGACUAAGAGGAGCCUUGAGGCUACAAUGGAUUUUAGUGUGCUGAUACUCACCACAGGUGUAUGCUAAUUGGAAAGCCCUAUGCCCUUUAACCACCACGGAUAGGGAAAAUGACUCAUUUGGGCAGAUGGUACCUGGCUUCACAGGAUCCUAAAGAAUACUGGAUUUUAUCUAAGCAUCAAAAAUCCUUCUAUAGUUCAGGUUGAGCUCAUUUCUGUUUAUUUGGACUUCCUAUUGGAGUUUGUGGAAUUGGAAAUCCUUUUGGUUCUAACACCUAGAGGCGUCAACAGUUAUGCUAUUUGUAGACUUAGGGAAGUGCUAUGGAGUGAAACCAGAUUUUAGACUAAUUAUUGAAGAAUUCUGUCUCAAGAAAACUGGAACAUUCAAAAAAGGCAGAGAGAAUAUGUUUCUGGCCUAAGGGGGGGGGGGGGCAGGGAGGGACUCAAAAGGAAAUGACAUAAAAGUCAACACAUAUUCAGGUCCAGAUUAACAAAAGAAAAUGCUGCUUAGAAGGUCAGGUAGCACACCAUUGGAUAACAUCUACCCUAGUUAGAAAAUCAAUGCUGACCGUUGAUUCAUUAUUACAGGUAUGAAAGCACAGUGAUGGACUAAACAGUUGACUCAGGCUGAUAUUUAGAGAAAAGGCCAGAAAAAUGGUGAUGAUGAGAAGCAUUUACAAGAAAAUCGUCCAUGAAACCGGGAACACUUCUAACUUAGUCUUUGCUUUUCAUAGGCUGUGAUAUUUUGGAGAGAUCAUAACAGGAAGGAAAGCUGAAGAAAUUAAAAAAUGUUGAAGAUUACUCAAUUCUAACUGUAGGAGCGUGUUUUUAUUUAGCAUGUGUUUUUGGUAAUUGGAAUACAUUUUUUUUUUUAAUAGAUGCUGUGCUUAAUCAUCUUCUGGAAUCUGCCACCGUGAUUCAAAGAUGUUUCACACUCAAAUUAAAAUACCAAGCAUCUAGAAUAAAAGGAAUAUAUUAGUCCACCUCCUGGCAACUUCUAAGAUUUUAUUUUUAAAGUUAAACUAAUAAUGGGCUUAGCAUGUGUCUCUGCUAGCCAUUGGCAUCUUUGAGACACUGACAAAAUGCAGCAUGACUUUUUACAAAAGGGGUGUUAUAAUUAAGAAUGGCAUUUCCUCCUAUCUAAAGUAAGUGUGUGCAUUUGUUUGUUGAAAAGUCUCAACAAACUCAUAUCAACAAGAAUGAUAAUGUAUACAGUCAUCACAUGGUUGUUAGUUGAUGGAUUCUGGAAAUUUUCUGUGCCUGGAUUAUUUCUGCGGUGAAACACUGCUAAUAGAUGCAUGUUGGAAAAUACAUGUUCCAUAAGAUCAAGAAGUUUAGCUGAGAUCCAAAUAUUCGACCAAAUAAUAAUGAAUUACUUCAUGAGCAUUAUUUGCUUUAGUAAUAACGACCUUGCCUAAUACUAGUGACUACAGACUAGUGUGUUGAGUGCUUCGUCCUCAGCUCUUGGUACUAAGGUGGUGGCUCUGGAAUUACUAGGAGAUGGGAACAAGCUGGAAAACUGUGUCAGUAGAGGUGCACUUUUUAAGGCUACACCUGGUUCUAUGUUCCUCCUAGCUAUCUAUUUCCAGUCUUAUUUGUAACAAAUGGGUUCCCCGCUAUAUUCUCUUCAGCCACCAAGAUGCAUUGGCAAAUAACACAGGCCAAGCAUUCAUAGAUUGAACCUCUGAAAAAGUACCAAAUCUUUUUUUCUUCUUUUAACUUAUACUUUCAGGAAUUUAAUCAUUAGUAUGAAAACUAAACCCAGAACAUAUGAAUUUGUUUUAGAUAUCAAGAAGCUAAAUUUAGUAAUCAAUAAUAUCCAUGGAGGUUUUGUGAUGAAAUGUCAUUUCAAAUACUUUUCUUUUCAAAUCAUAGUUUUAUAUUGACUAGUUUAGCAGCAAUAGUUGCCAUAAAACCUGUAGUAUUCUCUCCACAAAUCUGGAAGAAAACCAAGUUCAGAAGUGCUAAGAGCUCAUAUGUUACAGAAAAACACAACCUUAAUUCAGAUUAAGAGCAUUCUAUUCUCUCAGUCUCUGUGGCAUCUCCUGCACCAAUGAUUGUAAAAGGUCUAUACACCAAUUGUACUAAUGACAAGACACAUGAAUAGACAAGUGUACAAAAAAGAAAAAGACACAAAACAAUAUAACCUACUGACAACUCAAUAAAUGCAACUAAACAAAAUAGAAACCUGUAUAGAAUUGUUAAAUAGAAUGUGAAGGAUUGUUUUAUAAACUGAAAGCCUUUGAGUGUUUGGGGUUUUUCAAGCAAGGUCUCUGAUAUUGUGAAGUGGCUGACUGAACAUACAUCUCCAAAGACCUGAAUUAACAUAGGGGUUAGAAUUAAACAUAGUUUUGUAUACAACAUCAGGAUGGACAUCAUUUUGCAGCAGGACUUUGCCUGAGAGGUCAGAGAUUCUCUAGGAAUUCCGUGCUCAUCCUCAUGCCAAGAGAAUCCUUCAAAUCCUUUUGAUGUAUUGUACUCUGGUCCCUAAUAGAUUAUUUCAGCAAGCAAAUGAGACCAGAGUAAAACCACAUGGUUUCUUUCCAGCUUUCAAUUCAGGAGCUAGAAGACUUGUCGCUAACUACAUCAUAUUUCCACUAUAUCAACCACACCAUCUUCUUUUUUUCUUUUUCUUUUUUUCUUUUUUAUAUAUUUUCUUUAUUUACAUUUUAAAUGUUAUCCCCUUUCCUGGUUUCCCCUCUGAAACCCUCCCUAUCCCCUUCCCCAUUCUGGCAUUCCCCUACACAGGGGCAUAGAGCAUUCACAGGACCAAGGACCUCUUCUCGCAUUGAUGCCCCCUACAAGGCUACAUAUGCAGCUAGAGCCAUGAAUCCCACCAUGAGUACUCUUUGGUUGGUGGUUUAGUCUCUGGGAGCUCUGGGUGUGUAUGUGGGGUCUCGUUGGUUGAUAUUGUUGCUCCUCCUAACUUCCCUUCAUCUCCUUCUUUUCUUUCUCUAACUCCUCCAUUGGGGACCACAUGGUCAGUUCAAUGGAUGGCUCCAAGCAUUCACCUCUGUAUUUGUCAGGCUCUGGCAGAACCUCUCAGGGGACAGCUAUAUCAGGCUCCGCUCAGUGAGCACUUCAUCGCCUCCACAACAGUAUCUGCAUUUGGUAACUUUAUUUGGGAUGGAGCCCAGGUCGGGCAGUCUCUGAUGGCCUUUUUUUGUUUGUUUGUUUUGUUUUUAAGUCUCUGCCCCACACGUUGUCUCUGUAUCUACUCCCAUGGGUGUAUUUUGUUCCCCCUUCUAAGAAUGACUGAAGUUACCCACACUUUGGUCUUUCUUCUUCUUGACCUUCAUGUGAUCUGUGAAUAGUAUCUUGGGUAUUCCCAGGUUUUGAACAAAAGCUGAGAAUACCCAAGAUACAACUCACCCACCAUCCUAAUAUCUGAGACUAACCAAACACAUCUUAUUUAGAUAAUUGUCAAUAAAUGUAAAUUUUCUUUUGUAGUGGAUUGCUUUCUGAAUCUCUGAAGAGUGAUUUAUCUUUAUGUCUCAAUAAUUUUAAGAAGGACAUGACUUUAUAUUCAGUUAUUUAAAUUCUGGGAAUUAUUCCAAGGAGAGAAAUUUAUACCACACCUAUACACCCUAGAAUGAAUGAGUCUGGAUGAGAAUUAUGUAGCAUGCAGAAAGUGUUUAUUUCAGUACUAUUUAUAAUGCUGAAUGAAAAGUGGAGGGGGAUAGGAUGGCAAGUAGGAGAUGAAAAGUGAAUUAAACAAGUGAUGCUUACUUAAUGGGUCAUUAUCCAGUGGAAAAAUGAGUCUCCAAAAUAAAUCAUGCUAAAAUAAAAUGUAUUUUAAUAUAAAUAGAACGUAAAAAUUAAUAUUUAACAUUGUGUAUAGCACAAUGAAAAUGCUGUAGCUAAGGAAUUAUAAUGCUAAGGUUUGUGUGAGUUGAUAUACACUAGUGAUAUUUUGUUGUUAUAUCAUUUUCUGUAUCCAAAUACAACUACAGUAAUAUUUAAUAGGAUCACAUAGUUUUUAAAUGUAUAAUCAAUUUUAUUAUGGAGGAGACUACUUAUUCCUGAGAGACAUAAAGUACUGCAUAGCUCAAGGCAUGAUCAAAGAAAUGUUCAUGAAAUAUUAUCCUUUACUCAGAUAGGUUUUAACUUUUUUGGUCUCAUUAGUGUUUUGUUUGUUUUAAACCAAACAUAAUAAGAUAAACUAAAACAAUCUCAUCCAACUUGGUCAAACUAACAAAAAGAAAAGUGCCCCAAGAGAAGGCACAAGAAUUUGAGAUCCAUUAGCCACACAUUUAGAAGUCCCAUCAAAGAGCUAAACUAGAAGAUAUGAGAGAGAGAGAGAGAGAGAGAGAGAGAGAGAGAGAGAGAGAGAGAGAGAAUGAGAAAGAGAGAGAACACGUUGCAUACUUGUGCAGGUUCUGUGCUUACUGUUUCAGUCUCUACGAUUUCAUAAGAGUUUUUCUCAAUAGAUUUAGAAUCUCUUUCCUGACCUACUUCAUUCCCUCUGGCUCUUACAUGACUUUUGCCUCUUCUUCCAUAGGACACACUGAGUUCUGAGGGGAGUAAUUUGAUAGAGGCAUCUCUUUUAAAGCUGAGUAUUCCAAGGUAUCUCUGUCUGUGCAAUGUCUAGGUGUAUGUCUAGGUGUAUUUGUUCUCAUCCACUAUAGGAGGAAACCUCGCUAAUAAUGAUUGAAUAAGGUCCAAAUCUAUGAAUAUAGCAGAAUAUCAUUAUUACUUAAAAAUUUUACCUAUUGUUACUUAAAAACCAACCAAACAAACAAACAAAAACCCAAAAUACUAGUGGUAUUGGUUCUAUCUUAAGUCCCUGGGAUAACUAGCUUCUGGUUCUUGAUCACAUAAGAAGUGUUGGGUAUAGGUUUCAUCUUAUGAAGUGGACUGUAUAUCAGAUCACAGUUUGGUUGGAUUCUCCAACAAGCUUUCUGCCACCAUUGUCCUAUCAUACUUUGCAGGUAGAACACAUUACAGAAUUAAAGAUUUGUGACUGGGUUGGUAUUUACAUAUCUAUUUUGGUAGCCUGCUGAGUACCAAAGACACAAGAAAAGAAGAUGAAGGUUCUAUAUAGGUACUAUCUCUACCUCCACAUGUCCAAUGACUUGUGGGAUAUUGUCUUCAGCAAAUGGACCUUGUCAGAUUGUGGAGGGCAUCCUGGCAACAGGCUGGAUUGUUUAUGGAUUUUCAUGGUACCCCUUUGGCCAAUAAUUCAAUUGGAUGCAAUCUAGUCCAGAUACCAGAACCUUCAUAUGAAAGCAAGUGGUAGCCAGUUGGGACUCAGUCUCCCUCAGUAGAAGCAAAGUCAUCCUAUGCUUUUCUUUUUGGUUCUAGAUUACCUCACUCCGGUGAUUUUUUUUUUUCAGUCCAUUCAUUUGUCUGAAAAAUUUAUGUUGUCUUUUUUUUUAACAGCUAUGUAAAUGUACCACAUAAUUUUUAUUUGUUCUUCUGAUGAGGGACAUCUAGAGAGUUUCCAGUUUCUUGCUGUUAUGAAUAGAGCAUUAAUAAACAUGGCUGACCUAGUGUCCAUGUGCUAGGAUGAACUGUACUUUGGGUGCAUGGCCAAGAAUGGUUUAGGUGAAUUGCAAGGGAGACCAUUUCCCAUCUUUCGAAGGAACUGCCACACUGAUUUCCAUAGCAGCUGCACAAGUUGGCACUCCCUAUAGCAAUAGAGGAGUGUUCCCGUUGCUCCACAUCUUCCCCAGCAUUAGUUGUCACUAUUGUUAUUGAUUUUAACUAUUGUGGCAGGUUUAAGAUGGACUCUUAAGAUAACUUUGAUUUACAUUUCCCUGAUGUGUAAGAAAAUCGAACAUUUUUAAGUGUUCCUCAGCUACUGAGUUUUCUCUACUGAGACUAAUCUGUUUAGAUAGAUAUGUGCUGCAUUUUUUCAUUUGAUUCUUUGGUUUUUUGAUAUCAAGUUUCUUGAGUUAUAUAUUUAGAUUGGAUAUCAAUUUUCUAUCAGAUGUAGAAUUGGCAAAAAUCUUUUCUGAUUCUGUAUGCUGCUCCUCUCUGUAUGAGUGAAAGUAUUUUUCCUUAUUGAUGCUUUUCAAUUUAGUGAUGUCCUGUUAGUUGUUGAUCAUAGUGGCUCUGUUAGCAGUGUUCUGUUCAGAAAAGUCUUCUCUGCCAACACAGUCAAGGCAUUUCCAACUUUCUCUUCUAUUAGGUUCAGCUUAUCUGGUUUUAUUUUUGAUAAAUUUGAUUGAUUUUCUCUCGAGUUUUCUUUAAGGUGAUAGAUACAUAAAUUCUUCUGGAUGCAGACUCCUAGUUUGAUCAGCAGUAUUUGUUAAUGGUUCUGUCUUUUAUAGCUAUUGUUAUAUAUUUUUUUUACAUUGUCCUUUUUAUUAACAAAAUUCAUUUAGAAUCUUUCUUUUUUUAAAUUUAUUACGGAUUUUCCUCAAUGACAUUUCCAAUGCUAUCCCAAAAGUCCCCCAUACCCUCCCCACCACUUCCCUACCCACCCAUUCUCAUUUUUUUGGCCUUGGCGUUCCCCUGUACUGGGGCAUAUAAAGUUUGUGUGUCCGAUGGGCCUCUCUUUCCAGUGAUAGCCGACUAGGCCAUCUUUUGAUACAUAUGUAGCUAGAGUCAAGAGCUCCAGGGUACUGGUUAGUUCAUAAUGUUGUUGCACCUACAGGGUUGCAGAUCUCUUUAGCUCCUUGGAUACUUUCUCUAGCUCCUCCAUUGGGGGCCCUGUGAUCCAUCCAAUAGCUGAUUGUGAGCAUCCACUUAUGUGUUUGCUAGGCCCCUGCCUAGUCUCACAAGAGACAGCUAUAUCUGGGUCCUUUCAGCAAAAUUUGCUAGUGUUAGUGUAUGCAGUGGUGUCAGCAUUUGGAAGUAUGUUACUACUACUACUACUCCUACUCCUACUAAUUCUCGUGUGCAUUUUAGAUUCUUUACCAAAAAUUGGGUGUUCAUAGGUGUGUGAGUUUGUGUCUGUGUGUUCAAUUCAUUUCCACUGAUAAGCAAAUUUGUUUUUAUGUUAAAACCAUGCUUUUUUUUUUAUCACUAUAGUAUAGAACAACUUGAAAUCAGGAAUGAUGAGACCUCAAGCAGAGCGGCUGUUUUAUUGUUCAGGAUUGUUUUAGCUAUACUUUAAUUAUUGUGCUUCCAUAUACAGCUAAAAAUUCUUUUUCAAUGAAGAAUUGUGUUAAAUUUUUGAUGGGAUUGAACUGAAUCUGCAGUUUGUUUUUAAUAGGAUGGCCAUUUUCUGCUAUGUUAAUCCUUCCCAUCCCUAAGCAUAGGAAAUCUUUUCAUCUUCUGUUACCUUCUUCAAUUUUUUUUUCUGCACAGACUUAAAGUUUUUAUCGUACAAAUUUUAACUAACUUGUUUUCAGUUAUUCCAAGAUAUUUUAUAUUAUUUGAGGCUAUUGUUAAAAUGUUCUUUCUUUGAUUUAUUUCCCAGACUAUUUGUCAAUUAUAUUGGAGGCAUACUGAUUCUUUCUGUGAAUUAAUUUUAUGUCUAGCUACUUUGCUGAAAGUGUUUAUCAGCUAUAACAUUCCCUAGGGAAAAUUUUAAAAGUCACUUAUGUAUAUUAUCAUAUUGUCUGCAAAUAAUGAUUCUUUGACAUCUCCUUUCCAAUUUGUAUAUCCUUGAUCUCCUUCAGUUGUCUUAAUAUUCUAGCUAAAUCUUCACAAACUGUAUUUGCUUUCUUCUUGAUUUAAAUGGAAUUGCUUUGACUUUCUCUCCAUUUAAGUUGAUGUUGGCUCUGGGCUUGCUGUAAAUUGCCUUUAUUAUGUUGAAGAAUGUUGGUGUUUGUCUGGAUCUUUUGUUAAGUAUUUUUAGAGAAAAUCAGAGUUUCUUCAUUCUAUUUCCAUUUGAGCCUUCUCUGAAUUUAUGACAAAGACGUCAUUCUUUAUGAACACUAUUAAUAUCAGGAAUAAUUGAAAAGUUAAUAUACAAUAAAAAUUUAAGUUUCUUAACACAGAUCCAAUUUGUUUUAUUUACAUAUUUAAAUUUUAAUCACUUAUAUAAAAUAAAAAGCAAAAAUCACAUUUUCAAAGAUGGAUAUAUGUAAAAUUAGAUAUAUUUAUAUAGCUAUUUUCCCAUGUAUGUAUGUAUGUAUGUAUGUAUGUAUGUGUGUGUGUGUGUAUGUAUGUAUGUAUGUAUGUAUGUAUGUAUGUAUAUAUUUAAUAUUACAUCCUGCCCAUCUUUCUCCUGGCUCCCACCUCACACAUUCCUUUUUGGCCAUCCUCCCUUCCUCUUCUCCUCUGAAAGAGUGGAGGACCACCUGUAUGUAUAUCUCCCCCACUCUGGCAGGAGAUAUGUGUCUUGCCUCACUAAACUUUUUAGGGCUUUUAAUAUGAAAUAGUGCUGGGCUUUAUCAAAGAGCUUUUUUAUAUCUAGUGACACAAUCAUGUCUUCUUUCUUUCUUUCAGUUUGUUUUUAUGGUGUAUUAUUUUUAUUGAUUUUCAUAUACUGAACUAUUCCUGAAUAUCUAGGAUAAAGCCUACUAGAUAAUGUUGGAUGAUAUUUUUAUUGAUUGAUUAUAGAUUGAUUGAUUCAGGGUACAAGUACUUUAUAAAUUUUACAUCUAUGUUCACAGAGAAAUCCAUCUUUAAUUCUAUUUUUUGUUAGGUCUUUAUGUGGUUUUGGUAAGAGUAACUCUUAUUUCAUAAAAUAUUUUGAACAAUGUUCCUUCUGUUUCUAUUUUGUGAAUAAUUUGAGGAGUAUUAGAAUUAACUCUUGUUUGAAAGUCUGGUAGAAUGCUGACCUAAAACAAUCUUAUGCUAUAUUUUUGUUGUUGUUUGUUGUUAUUGUUCGUAGACUUUUAAUGACUCCUUCUAUUUCACUAGAGGUUAUAAAUCUGUUUGAAUUGAUUAUUUAAACCUUGAAUUAACUGUGGUAACUGAAACAUAUUCAGAAAAUUAUCCAUUUCUUUUAGAUUUUACAGUUUUGUUGGCUAUAUAUUUUAUGUCCUUAAAACAUAUGUAAAAUAUCUGAAUUGCCUUGAUGUUUGUUGCUAGGUCUCUUUUAAAAAAAAAAAAAACUUAAGAUUUGUUAACUUAGAAAUUCUAUCUCUAUUUGUGAGAAAAUUACAACCUUUAAAGCAAUAUAUUACAGAAACUUUUGAAAACAUAUUGCAGAAGAGACAUUUCUAGAAUUUCAGUUUCCCAUUUUCAUCAAUAGCUAUAUAUAUAUAUAUAUAUAUAUAUAUAUAUAUAUAUAUAUAUAUAUAUAUAUAUACAGUUUUAUCCAUAGCAGAUUAUUUCAAAGUAACUUCUAAAUAAUUACAUAAUUUUUCUGCAAAACUCUUACUAGCUUUUAUGUUUGGGAAGAGCCUUAAAAUUGAUCAUUCUUAAUACUGUUAAAUUUAGGGGACUCUAAAUCAGUUUUCUUUUUGUUCUGUUUUGUUUGGUUUUUUUUUGUCUUUUUUUUUUUUUUUUUCGAAACAGGGUUUCUCUGUGUAGCCCUGGCUGUCCUGAAACUCAGUCUGUAGACCAGGCUGGCCUCGACACCUGCCUCUGCCUCCCAAGUGCUGGGAUUAAAGGCAUGUGCCAUCACUGCCUAGUUUGUUUUACACUUCUAUCUCUGGGCUUUGUAUAGCUAGCAUUAGGUUUGUGCCCUUGUGCCUAAAACCAUUUUUUUUCAAUUUUUUAUUAGGUAUUUUCUUCAUUUACAUUUCAAAUGCUAUCCCCGAAAGUCCCCUAUACUCCCCACUCCCCUCCUCCCCUACCCACCCACUCCCACUUUUUGGCCCUGGUGUUCCCCUGUACUAGGGCAGAUAAAGUUUGCAGGACCAAGGGGCCUCUCUUCCCAAUGAUGGCCGUCUAGGCAGAAACUCAAGAAGAACCAAGGCCAAAGUGUGGACACUUCACCCCUUCUUAGAAUUUGGAACAAAACACCCUUGGAAGGUGUUACAGAGACAAAGUUUGGAGCUGAGAUGAAAGGAUGGACCAUCCAGAGACUGCCCCACCCGGGAGUCCAUCCCAUAAUCAGCCACCAAACGCAGACACUAUUGCAUACUCCAGCAACAUUGUACUGAAAGGUUUCUGAUAUAGCUGUUUCUUGUGAAACCAAUUUUUUGAUAUGAUUAUUUCUUUGAGAAUUUUUCUGAUGGCAUGAUAAUUAGUUUUUACUUAUUUGUAUUAAAUUAAAAAUACAUAUUCCUCCUCUUGACACAUAGGUGCAGUCCUUUAAUCCACACUGCUUGUUAAAUUCUAAUAGCUGAAAGAUUAUUGAUAUAUUUCCUUUAGAAUGUUGCAUUAUGCUAGGCAGUGGUGGCAGCAGUUGGGUGGCAGAGGCAGGUGGGCUUCUGAGUUUGAGGCCAGCCUGGUCUACAGAGUGAGUUCCGGUACAGCCAGGGCUAUACAGAGAAACCCUUUCUUGAACCACCAACAGCCCUCCCAUCCCCACCCCCCCCCAAAAAAAAAGAAGAAAGAAAAAGAAUGUUGCAUUGUUUGGCUAAAUUCCCUUCUCCGUUUCAUUAAGUCUACAGUUCAGGUGUGUCUUCUUAUCUCAGUUAACCUAGUCUAGAAAAUUGACAACAAACUCUCAGUCCUCUUUCUCCUGAUGACAUCAAGAACUAUAAUUCUGUUAUGUAUGUAUUUAAUUUAGAGACAUAAUUUGCAUUUAAUGCCGUGCAUCUUGACUGUAAUUCAUUAUUUCUAAACAAUCUAAUUUCAUAGAUAAUUAUCAGGUUUCCACAAUGAGGUUAGUUGUGGAGCAAGUCAUUGUGUUUUUACAUUCCAGUUUAACAACUAUUCAGCAUGAAGAAGAUAAAGACUCAGAAUACAAUAUCGAUGCCUCUUCAUCUGGUGUGGUCUUAGAUACAGUUUAUUGACUAAAUGAUGGGUGAAAAGAUUCUCUUAGCAAUGUAAUCAUAUGUCUUCAGAGGAAAUCACCUGACACAUGAAGCUAGGCCAGUGAGAUGGCUUAGAGGUGGAAAGCUUGCUGCAAAAUUCUGAGCCAAGGUAAAUCUCUUCAACCUAUGGUGAAGGAAGAGAACUGAGUUCCAAAAGUUCUUCUAUGACUUCCACAUGAGUCACAACACAGUCAUGCACUUCCAUAACAAUAUGUGUGGACAUACAAACACAUACACUUGCACACACACAUACACACACAGAGCAAGAGAGAGAGAGAGAGAGAGAGAGAGAGAGAGAGAGAGAGAGAGAGAGAGAUCGCAGUAAGUUUUGUCCAUUAGUAGUUUAUGGUUACUGCUGUCUGGUGAAAUAUCAGUACAGAAAUCAAUUGAGAAAUAGCUUUCUCAUGACCUUCUUUUCUGCUCACUUAGUGGCGCAUGCCCAUGAUUCCUUAAUAUUUCUCAUCCAAAUAAAAUGUUGAAACUUGAAAAUGGAUUAAUGAAUGAGAAACUCAGCUUCCACACCAGGUUCUCCAAGUGACUGUCUUCAUACUUUUGGAGACUUGCUGGUCAUUUCAUCUAACUAUAUGGAGGUAGGAGCUGCAGAGGAGGCAUGCUGUGGAAUUAGUAGAAGAACUAUUAUUAAAAGCUUCUGCCAGUCAUGUAAUAGAAUAGAAACAGAUAAACAAACUGUCUCAUUAGGGUGGUAAUUCAUUAAUUAAUUUUGUACGUGAUAGUAUAUAUUGAUGCCACAUAAAUAUAUUUCACAUAAAAUGGUGUUUGGAGAAGACUAUAAAGCCAUCAUAUCUAAGUAGCUGGCAUAAGCAUUGUCUCAAAUAAAAUGUUUUCAUUAUAAAAACAUUCAGCAGCAUUGCCCUCAAUAUUUUUCAAGAAUAUAAUGUUUCUUCAUUAGCAGAAGGGGUGAAAUCAGAUAUUCAAGACAUGACUGCCUUUGUUUAAUAGUAAAAGCACCCAGAAAAGCUGUGUUAUGGCAUCAACCUGUGUCCCAUGAACUAAUAAAUGGAUACAGAAGAUACACACACAGUGGAAUACUAUUUAUCUGUAAAAUAACAUAGCUGGACAUUAGCUGUAAGGUUCAUUUUACAGUUAAGGAAACAAGUAAUGAGAUAAGAGUUUACCUGCUUAAAGUAAGGCACUGACAUCUCUUCAAUUGGACUUUAGAUGUGAGGAAAACAAACAUUGAAAUUGUAACCCUUGGCAUCAAUGGGAGGGGAGACUCUUGGUUCUGUGGAGGCUUGAUUACCCAAUGUAGGGAAAUGCUAGGGUGCUGAGGAAGGAUUGGGUGGGUGGGUGAGUGGGUGGUGGAACACUCUCAUAGAGGCAGUGGGAGAAGAGAGGGGAGAGGGGAGAAGGGGGUUGUGCAGGGGAAACUGGGAAGGUCAAUAACAUUUGAAAUGUAAAUAAAUAAAGUAACCAAUCAAAAAGAAAAAGAAAAAAGAAAAUUAAGAUACUAGUACUUGAUUUCUUAAUUUGAUCUUUAUUAUUUUUAAUUACAUAGAUUGGGGGGCAGUACAUGUGUACAUGAGUGCAUUGCUGGCAGAGACCAGAAGAAUGUAUUAGAUUGUCUGGUGCUGGAGUUGAAGCCUUCUGAUGUGGAUGCUGGGAACGGAACCAGGCUCAUCUCCCAUAUCUGUGUGCUACUGACCACACUGAACCACUGCUCCAGGCCUCCACUGCUUGAUACUUUUUUUUUUUUUUUUUUUUUUUUUGGUUUUUCGAGACAGGGUUUCUCUAUAGCCCUGGCUGUCCUGGAACUCACUUUGUAGAUCAGGCUGGCCUCGAACUCAGAAAUCCGCCUGCCUCUGCCUCCUGCUUGAUACUUUUAAUGGCUAUCUUUGUAUCAUGGUUUCAAAGUCUUUGGAUCCAAUUGUUUUUGAUGAAUCUUUAUAAAUUAAGUAUAUUUCAUAGGAUAUUAACAAAUAAAAUUUAAUGAGCACUUUCUAGUUAUAAAAAAAUUCUCCAUUGCCAAAAUAAAAAUAGAAAGAACACUUACAAGAAAUAAAAAUAAAAUAAAAGUGUUUAAAAGGUUACUAGCCAUUGCAUUUAGAAGGGUAUGGAACUUUUCUUUUAUUAAAUAAUGUAAACUCCAUAAUAUUUGACUUUUAAAAAAAACUUUAUUUUCCAUACUAAAUAAAGUUUCUUAGGGAAUUAACACAAUAUUUAAUGCUAUUUACUGUCUUCUGUCUUCUGAGAAAGCCUUGUGUCCCAAUGUAAAGAUAAUAGAAAUAAAGUAAUUCAAUAUACACUGCCUCAACUGACUCUACAAGCUAUUUUGAAUAGCCAGGAAUGCAAUAGUUGCUUUUUUCUUUAAACUAUAUCAUAUAUUCCAUAAUAAAUAUUAGGAGUUUCUCUAUUUGAAAUUCUUCACUCUAAGUGUAAAAAUUGUAAAGACAAAGAAACUGAUAAAAUGUGUCAUUUGAUUUUCUUUAAGUUAUAUGGGAGUUAUAAGUGUAAAUCUUGUUCAAGAAUCCAUCUCUAGCACCCAAACACAUUUUUCCUGCAGAAGAGCUUCUCAAAAUGUUUAUUGAGUGCAUCAGUGAUGGAAUAAAUAGCAGCUAUAAUCAUAUAUAUUUCUUUAUUUGCUGAUCAAUAUAAUGGGUCAAAAAGUCAUAUUUUAAAUGUCAGUAUGAAGUACUCUUAAGUUUUAAGUUAAAUAGUACAAUAUUUUAGUGGUGCCUAUUUAUUUUAGAACUCUAUUUAUACUGGUACAAUGAUAAGCUCCUUUAGUCUUACGUUUCCUUCUCAUUGAGUCCUUCUCUUCAGUAUUCUGUAGAAAGGAAACAUUUUGCUCUGUCAGAUGUAUGCAUUUGAGUUGCAUUUUUACUAGAAGUGGGUAUGGUUUUACUGGGAAUCUGUUACUAGAUGUAACAAUGAGUGUGAUUGUCCUUAGAAACAGCUAUCACGGGAGUGGUCAUGGGGCUUUUCUUUUUUUUUUUUUUUUAUUAUUGUUUUGCUUGUUCCUUGACUAUUGUCUCUUUAGUUCCUUAUUGUACUGCUCACCCUUAACACUUGCAUGCAAUUAAAAUGGUAUAAAAAUGGAUUUCGAAAAUUAAAUUUGUCUUCAGUUUCGAAACAAACAAACAAACAAACAAAAAACAAUGGUAAUUUCUUUAGUUUUAGAUUGCAUCAGAAGAGAUGGCUUUCUUCUCUUUGAAGAAUGAGUUUGUACCAUUUUGUGAUCCUGCAAUUAUGAAUCUUUCUAAGAGUUCUGGGUUCCUUUAGAAGUAAACUCAGAGCAUUAAACAUGAACAGUGAAACAGAAUGGAGGAAAUGAGUCAUUGGGCAAGAGCACUUGUAGCACACACAUGAGGUCUCAAGUUCAGACACCCAGUUAAAAAUCUGGGUGUGACUGUUCAGGGACAAUCUAAUGUCAUGAGGCAUGGAGACUAUUGAUAAAACAUCCUAGCAUAACUCUAAGUUCAGUAAGAGGUUAUAUGUUCAGUGAAUAAAGUACAGAGUGAUAGAACAGGACACCCAUUGUUCUCUCUGGAAGGCACAUGUGCACCCACACAGAGACGUGCAUACAAAACACACAUGCACUCAUAUACACACACACAGAAACUUUCUGUCAAAUAGAUAUUUUUGUGUGUAUACAUAGAAAGUAUGUAAGAUACAUAUAUAAUUUCAGAAAAAUAUAUGAAUAGACUGAUACCUGCAAUAUUUACAGCUAUAAUCCAAAACAUAAUUGCAUCAGUCUUGCACAUUUGAAGGUCCCUCACUCAUAAAGUCACAUCAAAGUGGUGAAUAUGUUUUUUUGUUGUCAUUAACUUUUUAGUCAUGAUUUGAAGCAACAAGAUUUAAAAGAUAAAAAAUUGAGGCAACAUUCUUUUGCAAAACAAUACAAAGUUGGAGUGAAAAGCCAAAUGAGAAAAACAAGAUGAAAGCUUUAAAUCAUGUUUUAUUUUGUAGCAAUAUAAAUGUUAUAUAGACUCAGGAAGAUAAAUCUAUGUUCAAAUUAAGGAAUUAGCUGAUUUGCAUGAAUAUAUAAACAUGGAAAGCCAUAAUCUAGUAAUCAAAAUCAAGUUUGCCAUUAGGUAAUGGGCACAACCAAUGGCAUUAAUUAUUUUAUAUAUGUAUUUAUUUAUAUUACAAUGUCUUGGGAGAACUUAAUUCUGAGCAUUGUGCUAAAGUAUGUAUUGUAAAAACUAAAUUUUCUAUGUUCAGAGGUUCACACAGAAGCGAAGGGCACACAUGGCCUGGAGAGAUGGCUCAGCAUUUAAAAGCAUGUACUAGUCUCAAAGAGGUCCACGAUAGUUUGUUAUUCAGGACCUUGGUUGAAUGGCUCACAACUGCCUACAAGUCAAGCUGCAAGCAAUGGGGAAUUACCCUGUGGCCUCAAUGGAAACAAGUACAUGCAUGACAUGUACCACACAUCAACACACACACACACACACACACACACACACACACACACACACACACACACACAGUUGAUCUGUAAAUGUCAUACAUGCAUGACAUGUACCACACAUCAACACACACACACACACACACACACACACACACACACACACACACACACACACAGUUGAUCUGUAAAUGUCAUACAUGCAUGACAUGUACCACACAUCAACACACACACACACACACAGUUGAUCUGUAAAUGUCAUACAUGCAUGACAUGUACCACACAUCAACACACACACACACACACACACACACACACACACACACACACACACACACACAAACACAUACACACACACACACACACACGCACACACACACACACACACGUCCCAAAAUGUUAAGUUAAAAAAACAAGACUUCAAUGCAAAAUUGACAUUUAAUUUUCAUAUCUUAAAAUAUUUCAGAAUAUAUUCUAAACCUCACAGACUUAAAUGUAUUUGGUUUAACAUAUAUUUUAAUUUCUUCUGGCAAAACUAUUAUUUUUCAUGCUCCAGUUUCAAAUUGUUCUUCAAUAAAGAUAUAAAAAAGAAGGCCAUGUAAAUCCAUCCCCCUGUUGUAUACCACAAAGAGAACAGCCCGGUAUCAAUUUUAUGCAGUUUUCUUGUUAAGAUUUACUUUUAAUUACAAGUGAGCUCAAUAAUCUAAGCCCAAGGAAUAAAUUCUUUUCUACAAUUACAAAUUCUCUACUUAAAAGAUUGGGUUUAUUGACCAGUUUCACAGUAGUUAACUUAGGAGGGUACGCUCUAGUAGCAAGCCUGAGGGAGAAUUUUCUCCCUGUGGGCACUGGGCAGUGUAUUUCCCCUGUUAUUUCUUAAUAGCAUGGAAAGAUUUUUUUUUUUUUUUUGCUUGUCACAUUUGUCUAAGGUACAAAAGUUAUAUAAUCCAAUAUUUCCUUGUUUAUUUUUAAUGUGGGUUUAGAAAAGGAUAUUUUUCUAUUCUCUUUCACUAUAUAAAAUAAGACUAGCCUUUCAGCUCAACAUGCUUUGAGAAUCAUCAGAGAUCAUCACAAAAUUAUAUUGCCCAAAAGCACCAGUAUUCCUUCCUGUAUCUCAACCUUAGGGAGGUAUGGUCAAGAGGAUUAAGAAUUCUAGACAGCCUUAUAUUGUGAGUUUAAUUUCAACCAGAACUACCUGAGGCAGCCCUCCCAACCUACAUUGCAAUGAAGCAAACAGUUCCUUGUACAGUUUUAAUAUGAGAAAAAAUGCACAUAGAGGAUUUUAUUUCAUAAUGUUACAUGGUUUAGAUGAAAAGAUAAUGAAUAAAUUGUAUUUAGUUGUUUUUUUCAAUCAUGACUCCUAAGUAGAUUUUUACAUUUUCGUUUCCUCUCUUUCAUUUCCCUGCUUUAUUCUCUGUCCACCCUCCUAUGUUACUGAAAACUGAAAGAGCAGUAUAUAAAAUAUUUAUCAUAUUAAAAUGUGAGUGAUAUUAUUUGUUGACUAGAGUUUCAUCAACAUUUUUUUUCAUUUCCUUGUCCAAUAUCUACCAGUGCCAGGCUUUAAAAUAUGAACAAAGACAAUAAUGAUACAGAUCUAUAAAGAAAAAUGUUUCAAGACUGUGGAUUGCUCAGUUCUAAAUGGACACCUAUACCACACUUUCCUCCCCUAGUCUCAGGGACUACUGAGGAAGCGGGAAAAGAGGGAUUAAAAAAGCCAAGGCAGUGGAUAUCUACAGUGAAACAGGAUUUACAGGGCAUGACAGUUGAACUCAACAGUUGUGAGUGCAUGCAUAAUAUCUUCACAAGGUCAAUACAGCUGAAAUUUCAGCAUGAAUUGGGAAGGUGCCCAUAAAAUCUCACUUCUAGCUGAAGAGCUAUUGGCAGUUGAUGGAUUCUGGGAAUAAAGGACAUGAAAGGUAUUCCAACAUCCAUGAAAUACAGAAGCACCAAGUAUACUCUGGCUUAUAACCCCGAGGCAAGUAGGACAUGAAUUUAGAUGGAAAAGUGCUAGGGGACGGAUUAUCUGAAAGGGGAAAAUGGCAGUAUGUUUGAUCCAAAUAAAUUAUGUUCCAGAAUGGAACUCACAAUUUUGAGAUUGUUCAAAGACCUUUAAGCUAGUGGAUUGCUGGAUAUUUGAACAAACAAAAAUGGAUCAGAGGAAUAGAAGUAAUAAAAGCAAAGAUAGGUUGACCUUACUAACUGGGAAAUGUAGAGAGAAAUCCACUCUUUUAUGGAUACACAGCAAAUAGGCCGUAAGUAGACGUGAGAUAGCUCAACAUCAUAAAAGUGUUGAUUAUCAGCCCCCAACUUCCACUUUGAUCAAUUUACAAUCUAUUACAGUGGCAAACAUCUUGGAUAAUUAGAAGAAAAUCCUGAAGGGUAUCUGUUAGGUUUGAAUAUUGAACAUGAAUAGUCUUAGCUAGGUGACGUUUGAAAACUAGAAAAAAAGAGGAAUGGUGUAAAAAAAGAGAAGAAACACAGCUUAUUCCAUGCUCUCACUAAAGAUUGAAAUAAACAAAUAAAAUCCAUUAAAGAGUAUGCAUAUUGCACAGAACAAAUACCAGCAUUUUAGUUCAGGAGACAGGAAGGAGGCCAUGUCACACUGAACACAUGUUUUUGCUCUGUUUGGGAGGCUUCCUACACUCCACUGUUAUUUGGAUAGGCUAAGAGUUUAACAGUACUAUUGGGCUUUAUAUAAUUUCCCCAAGGGCCUCCAGUCAAAAUUAGCCUAUUACCCAUAAAUCAUAGUAAAUAGUAUUAAUUUGGCUGCAAUUGGAGUGAGACUGAUAAGUGGAAGCUUUCAACUCAAACAUCUGCAGAAGCUGAGACUUUUUUUUAAUAUCAGAAUUAAAAAAUUACAUUUUAAGAGUAAUUUAAAUCAUAGCCUACACCUGCUAUUUAGUAAAGCUGAUUGCAUAGUGCUUAAUAAGUUUAUAAAUCUACCUUUAAAAGUGACAUUAUCACAUUUACCAAUCAUGUGGAAAUUCAAUGGUCUAGAACAUAGACUGAGGAGGGUUCAUUAAAAACGGAAACAUCAAAUGCCAGAUGCCCAGUAAUUCCUGUUGCUUCACUAAAUGCUAUUUUUUUUCACUUUUUACUUUUACUGCAUGCUGCUGAUGUCUAUUUACAAGUUCCCUGUGGCCGUUUUAAUUAGCUUCCCGCCUCUCCUGUGAGAUAUGCUGAUUGCAUAAUGGGUUGAAUUAACUGAGUCUAACCAUGGCUCUACUAAUUUUUUUUACAUAGAAAUUUAGGAAUUGAAAGAAAACCUUACAUCUCCUGAGUCCACGUGCUACUUCAUUAAGCAGAGGCACUGAGACAUCACAAUCAAAUUAUGACAGACAAGUGGUGCAUCCAGCCACUGGGUAGUCCCAGCAUCUCUUCUGAAGAUACCUUUCCUUAAGAUGUCUUAGGGAAAGACAAGUGUUUUGGUUUGGCUCAUAAAAGAUUAAAAUUUGUCAUUUUCUGAAGUGGAAUACAAAAUAUCCAACAGAGAAGGUCUAAUACUUGUUAGAAUUUAAUAGAUUUCAAAAUUACCAUGUGAAUUACAGGUGCACCAAAUUGCAUAAAAUUCUGCUGAUAUUAAGUAUCAGCCAGUUGAAAUGAUGGGAAAAUUAGAGACCAGAAUCGGUAAAGGAGUGUGAUUUUUUUCCUCCUUCACACAAUUACAACAAUUUUAAAUUUCCUUUUCAUUUCUACAAAUUAGUUCUGUGACCAUAUUGUAAAGGAGACUGGCUUGCUGAAUCACAAAGCAGAAUGUCAGGCUGAAGUUGUGGCAUAAUGGGAACUGUUUUAGGCACCUUUCUCCAUACAAAACAGCAGACCAAAAUAGGAAUGGCAGCAUCCUAUCUCUUUAGGAAAGACAACUUACUGUUUCAAUGGACUCAUCAUGUUGAAUACAAAACCAGAUCCUCCAAAUAAUAACAAUGAAGCACAUCGUGUCCUCUGCAACUACAGGCCAGUUCUUAAAAUGACAAAAAAAUGUUAACGAAAAUCUUUGUUUUCUUGCCGAUUAAAAAAGAAAAUGCCCACUGAAUUUUCUUUCUUAAUAUUUGUAUCUCCUCAUUGAAAUGGGGAGAAGUAGAAAUAAUAGCCUUUUAUACAAAAUCUUAAGCCUGCAAUUGGUUAUAUUUAGUGAUGACCAUUGCAGAGUAGAGUCAAUGUUUGACUCUCCUGAAUUAGUUUUCAACACGAUGGCAGUUAAAUACAAUGUGUAAGCCAUAGAGCUACUAUGGAACAAGGCCUGGACUCAAGGCAGAACCAGCUUAAGCUUAGCCCAAUUUUAUAAGAUCUGCCGUGAGACAUCCUUGCUAUGGUCAUUCAAAGUCAUUUGCUCUGGCAGUUGUGUAAGUACCUGUGCAGUCACAUGCAUCUAUAAACUCAAGAUUUAGAAGGUGAGCAGAGGUGGAUGCUGGGGAUCUCUGAGUCAGCCAGUCCAGUCACAGAUCGGGAGGAGACAUGAGCGUGUGUGUGUGUGUGUGUGUGUGUGUGUGUGUGUGUGUGUGUGUGUGUGUGUGUGUGUGUCUGUGUGUGUGUGUGUGUCUGUGUGUGUGUGUUGAGGUGGAAAUGUGCAGGUGCUGAUUAGUUUCAACUAAAAAUAAAUCUGUUGUAUCCUUAAAACACCUGGGAAGAAAAUCUUAAUGAGGAAUUAUUCAGAUCAGGUUCUUUUGGUCCUGUCUAUGAUGAUUGUCUUCAUAAAUAGAAAAUACUGCAAGUCAGACAUUCUGUUCAUCCACCUAGACCUGUGAACUUUGUAGCUUUGUGACAGGGUAUAUUCAAGUCUACUGAUUAUCCCCAAGAUUGUCGCAGUGACUCAGAGCUGCCUAUCAACACAAGUUACUUCCACCAAUCAAUAACCCAGGUAAUGUUCAUAACUCAAUUUACAGUGCUUCAGGUAUCAUGGUAGUUUCUAGUAUUGUAAAGUCAAAGAUGCAUCAAGUCCCAACCAUCAUAUGGUAGACCCCUCUAAUUUGAAAGUUAACAAUUUACAGUAAAUUAUUAACCAAUAAAGAAAUUUGAUGAAACAUAUCAGGGUAAGCGUAUAACAUACCACAGGGAGGGAAGGAUACUGAAAGUAAUAAACAUUCUAAAACUAAUAACUAUUUCAAGCACAGACACAAAAUAAUAGAAUCCUCCCCCAGAGAUUUUUUUAUACUAAGUACUUUCUUUGCACAUUAUUGGAUCUCAAAUUCCUGAAUUCUCAGUCUAUCUCUAGAUGAGAUGAAUCAUACAGUUUCAUAAGUAGUUAAAGCUAGCUAGCUAGUGUUUAAAGCUCCCAACCUGGUCGGUACCCACAUUAAGAUAACAUUCACAUGCUCUGGGACGGUGGUUCUAGAAUUCUAUGAUGCAUCCUCCUGAGGUCAUAUUGAAUGCUGACUGGUCUUGCCUCAGGUUCUCUCCUGGUCAGCAUAUUAAUUAGCACAUUUGCAGUGUGAACAAGUUUCCAGGUAUUUUGGUUUCAAGAGCCAUCUCCAAAUACUAACCUACAAUAUAUAACAAUCCAACAUUUCCUAUGAAUGUCAACAUAAUAAAUAUUCAUCUUGAGAACCAUAUCUUUCCAUUUGAAACCAGACAUCUAACCACAUGAACUGCCAAGAGCCAUAAAAACAUUUUAGCAAAGAAAACUCUGCUUAUAUCAAAUUUUAAUUUUGUAUAACUGCUACAUACCUGGAAACAGUAACCUUCAUUUUAUCUUUUCAACCAUUUAAACAUUGACAUAACAUCAUUGUUGAAUAUUUCUUACAACAGACAUAUAUUGCCCAGGAACCUGGAUGACUACUUUCAAGAAGCAAGAAAGAAAAUGAAAUCUUUUGAGGCAGAAGUAUACUUAGUAUGUUCUAGGAGCAGGGAGGAAGAUGCUGUAUCAACAGAAGGGAAGAAGAGAGAUGGAGGCUGUUGAAUUAGAGCAUUUAUAUGAAGUAUAAGAUAAUAGACCCUUCAUAGACUGUAUUUUCAUAAGCAAAUGACUUUCACUACUGAAAUGGUGCCAUCUGUCCCUAUCUAGUUACCCUAUGUUGUUCUGAGACUAAAGUUGCGAGAAAUAAUGGAAAUGAAAAUGCAGAGGGGAAUUUUCUCCCUUAGUUAUCCAGGUAAAUGCUCUGAGAUUCAGCUCAGACAAAGUGUGUGUGUGUGUGUGUGUGUGUGUGUGUGUGUGUGUGUGUGUAUGAAUGACCCACACUCAUGCUUUGUGGGAUGAAAGAAAAAUGAAGCCAAAGACAGUUCCGAGUCUUUCCAUCUUGGAUGCUGAGUGAAUUGUAGGGCCAAUUACUCAGCAGUAGUCAUUAGAGCAAAUUGUGGAUCCAAUUACUCAGCUGUAGGCAACAGAGAGAGAAAAAAAAACAUGAACUGUGGAAAAAGAGGGACAGUCUCUGUGCAUGAGAGAUAAAAACAAAACAAAAAAUAUACAGUAGCAAUCUCAAUGUACAGAAUUCAUUUUGAAAGAAGGAUGGGACCCACAGGAAGUCAGUCAGUGUUAAGGAGAACAUGCAAAGUUAGCCAUAGCUGUAACACUGAAGGAUUAUGUGCAGCUGUGGCUCUACCUUGUGAAAUGUAGAGUGACAUUCAAGAGCAAGUGAAAGAAAAUUACUGGGGACAGUGUGCAGAUUGUUCUAAGAGUGCUUUACUAAUAAAAAAAAUGGGAAAGAAGGUGACUCCAUAUGCAUCUAUUGGUAACGAGUAGAAAUAUGGUAUAUUUACAUUCUUGUGUGGGUCACCCAGCCAAGAGGAUCAACUAGGUGAAUGAUGAUAAAUGGGGGAAAUGGCUUACUUAGAUCUCCCAGACACUGAACCACCAAACAGGCAGCAUACACUAGCUGGCCCCAGGCCCCUGACACAUACUCAGCAGAGGACUGCUUUGUUUGGCCUCAAUGAGAGAAGAGGCAUCUAACCCUUGAGAGACUUGAGGCGCCAGGGAAUGGGGAGGUCUGGUGAGAUAUAGGGUGUGUGGGGUGUGGGGACAUCCUCUUGGAGAUGAGGAAGAGGAAUGAAAUGAGGAAGUGUUGGAGGGCAGAACGGGGGAAGGAACAUAAUGACUGGACUGUAAAAA